UAGGGAAUCUUCCGCAAUGGACGACAGUCUGACGGAGCAACGCCGCGUGAGUGAAGAAGGAUUUCGGUUCGUAAAACUCUGUUGUUAGGGAAGAAAAAAUGUAUAGUAACUAUAUACAAAAGAGACGGUACCUAACCAGAAAGCCACGGCUAACUACGUGCCAGCAGCCGCGGUAAUACGUAGGUGGCAAGCGUUGUCCGGAAUUAUUGGGCGUAAAGCGCGCGCAGGUGGUUUAGAAAGUCUGAUGUGAAAGCCCACGGCUCAACCGUGGAGGGUCAUUGGAAACUAAUAAACUUGAGUGCAGGAGAGAAAAGUGGAAUUCCUAGUGUAGCGGUGAAAUGCGUAGAGAUUAGGAGGAACACCGGUGGCGAAAGCGGCUUUUUGGCCUGCAACUGACACUGAGGCGCGAAAGCGUGGGGAGCAAACAGG
rnacentral:rRNA from 1 species